AGUGAACGCUGGCGGUAGGCCUAACACAUGCAAGUCGAACGGCAGCACAGUAAGAGCUUGCUCUUACGGGUGGCGAGUGGCGGACGGGUGCGGAAUACAUCGGAAUCUACUUUUUCGUGGGGGAUAACGUAGGGAAACUUACGCUAAUACCGCAUACGACCUACGGGUGAAAGCAGGGGAUCUUCGGACCUUGCGCGAUUGAAUGAGCCGAUGUCGGAUUAGCUAGUUGGCGGGGUAAAGGCCCACCAAGGCGACGAUCCGUAGCUGGUCUGAGAGGAUGAUCAGCCACACUGGAACUGAGACACGGUCCAGACUCCUACGGGAGGCAGCAGUGGGGAAUAUUGGACAAUGGGCGCAAGCCUGAUCCAGCCAUACCGCGUGGGUGAAGAUGGCCUUCGGGUUGUAAAGCCCUUUUGUUGGGAAAGAAAAGCAGCAGGUUAAUACCCCGCUGUUCUGACGGUACCCAAAGAAUAAGCACCGGCUAACUUCGUG
rnacentral:rRNA from 1 species